AACCUGCGGAAGGAUCAUUACCGAGUGUAGGGUUCCUAGCGAGCCCAACCUCCCACCCGUGUUUACUGUACCUUAGUUGCUUCGGCGGGCCCGCCAUUCAUGGCCGCCGGGGGCUCUCAGCCCCGGGCCCGCGCCCGCCGGAGACACCACGAACUCUGUCUGAUCUAGUGAAGUCUGAGUUGAUUGUAUCGCAAUCAGUUAAAACUUUCAACAAUGGAUCUCUUGGUUCCGGCAUCGAUGAAGAACGCAGCGAAAUGCGAUAACUAGUGUGAAUUGCAGAAUUCCGUGAAUCAUCGAGUCUUUGAACGCACAUUGCGCCCCCUGGUAUUCCGGGGGGCAUGCCUGUCCGAGCGUCAUUGCUGCCCAUCAAGCACGGCUUGUGUGUUGGGUCGUCGUCCCCUCUCCGGGGGGGACGGGCCCCAAAGGCAGCGGCGGCACCGCGUCCGAUCCUCGAGCGUAUGGGGCUUUGUCACCCGCUCUGUAGGCCCGGCCGGCGCUUGCCGAACGCAAAUCAAUCUUUUUCCAGGUUGACCUCGGAUCAGGUAGGAUACCCGCUGAACUUAAG
rnacentral:rRNA from 1 species